CUGAGCUCUUGAAGGACAGACGUCUUUUCAUGUUCGGGCCCGAAGUCCUAGGACUUGAGGCUAAUCCUGGCACAGAGGAAGACAGGGAGGGUUCCUGGAUCCAGCCUUGUGUGAAGCUACUCUGCCCUUGACCUUUUCAGUUGGACUCGGUCUUUUCCUUCUCUGCAGUAAGCAUGUGGCCGAGGGGUCAUGCACCGGCUGUCCUGACGCUCUUCCAGGUUCAGCUGUUUCUUCAAAGGACACCGCUGCCGGAUUAAACCCCGGAUGCUCCUUAGGGUGCGUCUGGAGAGCCGUCCCAUUCGUGGUACUGGAGUCACAGACCUUGCCACAUUCAUCCAAAGCCAGGUUCCAGCACCUGCCUUUGCUAAUUACUGGGUGACACUCCCAGGAACAUCUCGGGGACCCUUCCCUCCACCUCUGCUACGUUACACGUGGCCAGCACACCUCCGUCCUGCACCGUGCUCGGUAGAAAAGCCAAUGGAAGGUAUGGCCAAGCAUCAAAAACAAG